rnacentral:lncRNA from 1 species
UUGUACAAAUCCAUACAAGUAUCGGGAUUCCAAGUCAAAACUACCCCUUUGUAGUCUCCAUUGCUACAAGACGAUUCAUGAGAAGAUGCAACCUCUUACUGCUUGUUAGGAUCAAGAUCCACCUUACUGCCUGUUAGGAUCAAGAUCCACCUGCAUGCAACUACGAGUAUAGGAACUUAACAAGUACAUGCAUUCCUGCACCAUUAUAUGCAGUCUCUAGUAAGAGUUGGGGUGGAUGGCAUGGGUAAAGCGAUUAUCAUCAUCAUAUCAGCAC